ACAACAUUAUGUGGGUCUAUUUGCUGUUGCUCCUUUCAGCACUUGCAGGAGACUCUCUUGGUGAGCUAAUAAUGUCUCAUGGUUCUGACAAACAAGCUGAAGAUGGCAACCGUGUUACUAUGUCCUGCAACUACAGUGGUACUGUGUACAAUCUACUGUGGUACCGUCAAUAUCAAAAAUCAAAACCAGAACUCCUGCUCUCCAUCACUGAAUCUGGAGAUCCAGUUAAAGAAGAUCCAUCAGCAGACUGGUUAUCUGCUAAAGUUGACAAACACAGAAAGCUCAUGGAACUGGAAAUCAGCCCUGCUGAAGUAAAAGACUCUGCAUGGUAUUACUGUGCCCUGGUGCCCACAGUGACAGGAAACCCCUUUCCUCUGCACAAAAUCUUGCCAGUGAUAUAG